rnacentral:rRNA from 1 species
UGGCGACCGGCGGCACGGGUGAGUAACACGUAUCCAACCUGCCGAUGACUCGGGGAUAGCCUUUCGAAAGAAAGAUUAAUACCCGAUGGCAUAGUUCUUCCGCAUGGUAGAACUAUUAAAGAAUUUCGGUCAUCGAUGGGGAUGCGUUCCAUUAGGUUGUUGGCGGGGUAACGGCCCACCAAGCCUUCGAUGGAUAGGGGUUCUGAGAGGAAGGUCCCCCACAUUGGAACUGAGACACGGUCCAAACUCCUACGGGAGGCAGCAUG